UGCCUAAAUGUGCGAGUUACGUUUAUGAUAGUGAAGGGAAACAGUGUGUACUAGCAGGCUUUGAAUAGGACUCGGAGCCUGUAGGCAGUACUAGCUCGGCAACAGCACACAAUAACAAGGGGUGGGUGUAUAUGGGGGCAGAUAAGUGCUCGAUAGGUUCCUUGGGUUAGGGGCCACGCAAGGAGAUACAGGAAGGGGCACGGAUCCUAUGCCUACAGGGUCGUUGUGUGGGCUUACGUGCUAGGGGGCGGGGGCCAACCAUGUCAGAGAGAGGCCCCAGCGGGGAGCCACCCCGCUCCCCUUUUGCUCCUGCCUCCUGGGCUGCCCCUGCCACUUGUGGCACCCCUUCGCUGGGCAGAGCCCCUCCGCUAGGGGCCACGGGGAAGAACGGCGUUUCCAAGGGCCCCCUCCGCCCAACACACCUGUUCUGUUCCCCACUAUGACAUCACUUUACCCACUGCGCCCUGUUUGUGACGUCACACCGUCCCGGCCCAAUCAGAGGCAGCGGAGGGGGCAGUGGGUGUCCCAAACGCCGGAGCUGGCCGAGCGGCCGGGGGGGACUGGACGGGGCGGGAGCACAGCCUCCGCCGCCCCGGGCUGGGACCCCCCGCCGGCCCAGCCGGGCCCCGCUGCGGGGAUGAGUCCGGCAGCCUCGCACCCACCGUAGCGGUGCCGCCUCCGCCAUGAAGCGGAAGAGCUGGGCCGGGAGCCGGAGAUACUCGGCCCCGGCGCCGCCGGUCGUGAAGAAAACUCGGAGUGCGGCGGCGGAGCGGAAGGAGGGCGAGCUGCCCCCCACCGGCCCCGAGACCCGCCUGCGCCUCACAGAUCGCCUUUAUUUUGCAAUUCUCUGCCAAAAACCAAAGAGUGGUGCUGCAAACACACACCAUUUCUGCAUAGAUGACGAAUUUGUAUACGAGAACUUCUAUGCAGAUUUUGGACCACUCAAUCUGGCUAUGGUUUACAGAUAUUGUUCCAAGCUAAAUAAGAAAUUAAAGUCAUUUACAUUGAUAAGGAAGAAAAUAAUUCAUUAUACUGGCUUUGAUCAGAAAAAGCAAGCAAAUGCUGCAUUCCUCAUAGGCUCUUACGCAAUAAUAUACUUGAGAGAAUCCCCAGAGAAUGUGUACAGGCUCUUAUUGUCUGGAACCAUCUCUUACCUUCCUUUCAGGGAUGCUUCAUUUGGUACUUGCAGUUUUCAUCUAACACUGCUUGACUGCUUUCAUGCAAUAAAUAAGGCUUUGCUACAUGGCUUCCUGGAUUUCACUGUUUUUGAUGUAGAUGAAUAUGAGCAUUAUGAGAAAGCAGAAAAUGGAGACUUUAACUGGAUAAUACCAAACAAAUUCAUUGCCUUUAGUGGACCUCAUUCAAGAAGUAAAAUUGAAAAUGGUUAUCCCCAUCAUGCCCCUGAGGCUUAUUUCCCAUACUUCAGAAGACAUAAGGUCACCACCAUAAUACGCCUCAACAAAAAAAUGUACGAUGCCAAACGAUUUAUUGAUGCUGGUUUUGAGCAUUAUGACCUCUUCUUUGCUGAUGGAAGCACACCUAGUGAUACUAUCAUCAAAACAUUCCUAAAUAUUUGUGAAAAUGCUGAAGGAGUUAUAGCAGUGCAUUGCAAAGCUGGUCUUGGCCGGACUGGCACACUUAUAGCCUGUUAUAUUAUGAAACAUUACCGGAUGACAGCUGCUGAGACCAUUGCCUGGAUUAGAAUAAAUAGACCUGGCUCAGUGAUUGGACCACAACAACAUUUCCUGGUAGAGAAACAGUCAGAACUUUGGACAGAAGGAGAUAUUUUCCGUGCAAAGUUAAAGGGGAACAGUAAAAUUACUGUUACGAAAAUCCUCACAGGAGUAGAUGAUAUUUCAAUUAAUGAUGCAAAAAACCGGAAAACUAACAGAAAAGACACUGAACUGUACAGUGAUGAAGAUGAAACAAACUGUGUAACUCAAGGUGAUAAACUUCGUGCUCUGAAAAGCAAAAGGCAAGGAAAAGCUACAAUCGCAGUUCCACUAACAUGGCUCCUAGCUAUGCUGGUGUCUACACUGUGUAGCAUUGUCAUCUGGUGGAUUGUUUGUGGCUCCCUUCUUCCCAGCCUGCUAUUCUGUCUAGAUGGUUUAAGAACAUAAUAACCAUCAGGACUCCUUGUGAGAGAGCCACUGUAAUGAAUGUACUGAUCAGCUUUUGCCACAGGAGCCUGGUUUCCACCUUUGAAGUCAUGAAGUUUUCUUUUAGACAAGUAGGCUUUGUAGCAGAGAGAUUUGUGGGGGCAAAUCCACUGCACAUUUUCCUUUCCUGUAUGGCAUUGUCACUGGAGUGUUUUCCUGCAGAAAACUGGCAAACAAAGAUUUUUCUGGGAGAAUGCUGAAGAUUUCAGUUGCUGUCAUAAAAACAGUCAUUCCAUCCCAAGGACUAGGACAGUGUUGCGUUAAAUUAAAAAUAAGCAACUAGAGCUGAAGAGGACACGGAGGAGGAAAGAAGGGAUAUCGCUGUGGGACUUGAUGCAGUUUAGGAAGAAGAUGCUUUGGCUUUGUUUUGCAGUAAAGAUUUAGCAGAAAGCUCCUUAUUUGUGGAAGAAACGGACUGGUAGAAAGCUGAGCUAUCUAAUCAAGCUUUUUAAUUCUAAACAUUUACUCAAAUGUUUUAAAAAGUAUUUGUAAAUUUAGACUCAGGUGUAAAUAUUUAAGUUCUCUAUUAUAAAGAGAGCCUGCUAGUCCAUAUGAUGCAUGUGUAUAAAUUGUGAUGGCAAUCACUUAGCUGCUGGCCACCAUAAAAAGUGAAAACAUGGUGAGGCUUUUAAAUAUUUAAUUCACUGUUGUCGAUCCAAGUCAGCCUCAGUCUCCAGUUAGAGACUAAGCUUGGAAAGGCAGUCUUUUAUUCUCAUAACAAGGUACUCUCAUGUUGAUUGGCUCUCCUUUCUUAUUUUGUAUGAAUUUUUUUUAUGAAGCUGCAAUUGUAAGUACACAGACUAAUUACUGUCCACCAAAGAGUGCUUUAUUUCCAAGGAUUUCUUUUUUAAAGAACCUAAUUAAAAGCUAAUGCUAUUUAAGCAGUUAAUAGCUUUUAAGUUGUUCAGAAUGCAGUGGCUCUUUCAACCGGUAGUAUUUGCUUGAAUCAGGUAUAUUUCCUACCAGAGUUUAAUAUAAAGAAGUACCAUCAGUGUUUAAACCCACACUGCGGCCUGAAUUAUUUUACUUACUAGUGCUGCAUGUAACACUUAAGAAUAACAUACCUGAAAGAUGAGAGAAUUUUUCUUAUGUCUUUGCGUAUUCGACCACACUUUCUGGUCAUUGUCACUAAUUCCCUGGUUUAGUCAUUUUCUUUCAUGCAAUAAUGGUGGGGGCUGGAGAGAGAGAGAAAAAGACUUAAAAUAGGAAUAUGUAUUUAUAAAACCACUGAAAUGAGCAGUGGGACUCAGGGGCAGGUGUAAUUAGAAAUGUUAGUUUGAGGUGACAGUGUUUUUUUAAAAUACCCACAUAUAUUUUUUAAAAGAAAUGCUAGAUAUCUAAUUAUCUAUUUAGUGCCAUGGUAAUUUUUUUUUAAAGGGAAUCUGUCUAGGGUUUGAAAUACCAUUUCUUUCUUUUACAAUACUAUUUUUUUCAAAACUAAAAGACAUUUUUUAAAUUUUCUCCACCACCUUUGUCCUGUUAGAUUUGACAGCUGUUUUUUUCUGCUGUAUCCUUGUCUGCCAACUUCACAUUUGACACCCACACAACCCUCAGAAUAGAUCUGCCUGCUGCAUAGUCAGGAGUAAAAGAACACACUUGUUUAUUGUUUUUUUUUGGAAAUGUGUUGCGGGGAGGUUUGAAUUAUUAGUCAGUGACAGACAUUUGUUUUAAUUGAAUGAAUACAUAUUGAUUUUGAGAGAGACAGAACGUUCCUUUUGUAUUGUAAACAGGUGAAAUUCAAUGCCUAGUUUUGAAUGAAUCUCCCUUUUUUAAAUUUAAAAUUAAAAAGAUACCUAAUGGCAAUUUGAGGGUGUUACCUGCAUUUCAACAAAUAACUGUGUGGUGGCUUGAAUAAAAUUGGAUGGUAAAGGCUACUGACUGUUAGCCCAGAAUACGGUAAUUUUUAGUUGCAAGAAAUACCUCCCAAGUACUUGAACUUUAAAUUUGUUCAUUUGAAUACAAAGCAAAUAGAAGAGCAAACAAGUUGAAAAUAUAGAGAGUAAAAUAAUGAAGCUUGGGAAAAAAAAGGGUGGGGUGGAGAAAACCCUUUAACUCUCUUUAAAUUAUCUGGCCUGCCUCCUGUGCUUUGUACAGCACUGUCCUCAGAGAAGUGGCAGUAUAUCCUAUUUUAUAUUAUAUUUCAAACUUAAUUGGCAAUGGGGGGCUGAGGCAUACUUACUCUCUGGGGAAAAGAGCCUUACAAACUUUGUGAGGGAUGACAUAGGAAGAAAGAGAAUAAGUCGACUAGGGUUUUAAACCAAAGGGGUCUACUAGCAAAAAGAGAAAUGUUUGCUUUUAUUUUAGGAAUACUUAGUCAUUGUCCCCCCACCCAGGAGAUCAUGGAUAUCUAAACUGUGCUUUAGUAUGUAGGUGACUUGCAGAAAAAAAUGCAUAUAAUGCUCCUGAAUUGAAAGAGUGAUGUCUUUGAGUUAUGCCCUGCAAUUUUUAAACCAAAGCACUUGUUGCGGGCCUCCUUCCAUGAGAGAAGGAAGAGCAGCUCCUCCCAAACCUCUCUAUCUGACCUGCAGGUAAGCAUCAAUCAGCCAAUAGCAGUUCAGUCAAAGGAGAGUCAUAGAAAAGUAGGGCUGGGAGGGAUCUCAGUAGAUCAUCCUGUCUAAUCACCUGCUCAAGGCAGGUCAUCCCUGUUGAAACUAUCAAGUGCAAGUCCUUGUCUAACCUGUUCCUAAAACUAUACAAUUGACUACAACGUAUAUGGCCCAAAGACACCCCAACCUGUCAAAAGUCAAGCCAAGGAGCAAUGGGAGUCAGUGUCCCACAGCUGCAAGGGCUGCUAAAAUACACUCGAGAGACCAGAGGAAGAGGACCAUGUCCCCUGCUAGAAGGCAAAAAUUCCCACAGUUUGUACCAGUCUGACCAUGGUGUAAAAUUCCUUCCUGCUCCCAAAUGUAAUAGGUCAAACUAUGAGCUGGAAGGGCAAGACCCUACACAGGAACCUUUGGGUUUAAGUCCCAGUUGGAGCAUUUAGCACACUCAAGUCAAAAUCCCAAGCCUUGGCUGUAGCCAACACCUAGUGUAAACACAGGAAACGCAGCUAAAACAUGAUUCUCUGCCAUAUGCAACUACAGCAACUUGAGUGUUGCUUGUCAGCUAACAUACUAGCAAGACAGGCAGUAGCUGCAGCCACAAAUGAGAACAUGUACUGGAAAGUAAAGGCCUUGCUUUAGUGACCUCACAAUUUAAAUUUGAGUGACUUUAAUAGGUGGAUGAAGCAAAUCAAAAAUGUGAAAGGGUGGGAGAAGGCGAUGGGACUAAAUUAGAGUUUGUAGGAUUUGGGCAGUGAACUGUAAAGUCUUUGGGUUGCCACCUACCUCGUGAUUUCUUUGCUUUCUAGGUAUUUUAAUCUUUUAUGUACAUUUUUAUGGUCAUUUUCAUAAUGACUAUAGCUUUUUCUGCUUUGGGGUUAGGGAGUGAAGUAGAAAUAAUGUCUCCUUUUUAUAAUUGUACUGGCAAAUACUGGAUACAGAAUAAAAGAUCAAGCAAAUUACUUGGAUUACAUCAGAGCCCCAAGAUGAUGCUUUUUAACAGGUGUAGAUUAGUUACAUGUUAACAAAAACUAAGUUGUAUAUCUGUUUUACCUGCAAGUAGUCAAGCUCUUUUGUUCUAAAGAAUCCCCCUAAAUAAAAUUUCAACAGAUUUUAGAAUUUCCUUUUUUUUUAAACAAAUAAAAUUGAACGCUUUCAACUUUUUUUUUUUUUUUUUUUUUUAAAACAUCAAAAACGUAGUUGACUGAAAAACUGUCAGUCACAAAUGUUUGUUGCAUAUUGUGAAAGUAAACGAAGUUUUGCAUUUUUGUUAAUAUGUAUGUUUUGGGCUUCCAUCUUUUUCCAUCUCUCUACAUCUUACUGUUACGGAGAAAUGUGUGAGUGCCGCUGGUGCUUUGCAUAUGCACACUCAAACCAGCCUUAUAUAAUGACUAUGUCAUAUCCCAUUUAUUUGUAGUAUUUAGUUUGUACUUGGUUUGAUAUUUGGCCUUACAUUUGCACCAUACAUACCAAAGUUGUCUUAGCAUAUGACUCUAAAAGAUGGGGAUGGGUAAAGGAGUCUUUCAUUUCCAAAGGGCCAUUGACUUGUGAAAUAGUGUGCCAAAUGUACAUAUAGAAUGGAUGCAUUGGAGAUUUUAAAAGAAGUGUGACUGCUAAGUAGGUUAUUCCUCCUAUCAUGGAGUUGUACUGAAUUAGUGUUCUCUUCUUGCUUUUCUUGUUGUCUGUGGGUUUUCGAGGGAUUUUUAUUCCCCAAGAUUGGGAAAUGCAGGAAGAAUCAUACUAAAAGCAUAUAGUAAAUACUCUGAGUAUUUACAGGGCAAGUCAAUUUGCAUUAGUGUCAGUGAUGCAUACUGAAUUUGCUGUCAGAUCUUGACCUGAUGCCCUGACUAGAAUAGGGAAGUGCUGCUGUUUUUAAAGUUAGAUGAAAAAUAUAAAGCUCUGAUUUGUAUGAAGAGAUGCACAUUCUAAAUGGAAGAACACUUGUCAAGAGUUACGUUCACCAGAUUGUUGUACUUCAAUUUUAUAUUAAUAGUUUUUGAGACUUCUUUGUUCGUCUUGUGUGUAAACUCAUGUACAGAAUAUCAGGUUUUGAAAGUUACUGACUGAUCAAUACUGCUCAUCCUGAUUUUUUUUUAAUUGUAUAUUUCUAUAAUUGUAUUUUUUAAUGCCGACUGAAUGACAGAAUGGGAGUUUAUUUUGCUGAAAGUAUUUUUAAGAUAAAGCUUCAUAAUGUCUUGUAAACUUAGAUAGUUUGAUAUGCAUUAGUCUCAUUUGAAAACCUUGCAUAUUGUAUCUUAUUUUAUACCAAAUCUUGAAUAGUGAAAAUUGUAAACAUAAGUUGUGUACAAAUUAAAAUGAUUAACCAAGG